ACCGGGCAUGGUGGCGUGUGCCUGUAGUCCCAGCUACUCGGGAGGCUGAGGCAGGAGGAUCCUUUGAGUCCAGGAGUUCUGGGCUGUAGUGUGCUAUGCCAGUCUGGUGUCUGCACUAAAUUCAGCAUCAAUACAGUGACCUCCCGGGAGCAGGAAAUCACCAGGUUGCCUAAGGAGGGGUCUAACCAGCCCAUUUUGGAAACAGAGCAGGUUAGAAUAUUCACAACACUCUUCUCAUCUAAACCAACUUUUCCUUCUUUU
rnacentral:sRNA from 1 species